CAGCGCGGUAAUUCCAGCUCCAAUAGCGUAUAUUAAAGUUGUUGCAGUUAAAAAGCUCGUAGUUGAACUUCGGGGUUUACUUAUUGGUCAGGCUUAAUUGUCUGUACUGUUGAGAUGAAUCUCUACCUUCUGAGGAACUUUCAUGCCAUUUAUUUGGUGUGAUGGGAAAUCAGGACUGUUACUUUGAAAAAAUUAGAGUGUUUAAAGCAGGCUAACGUCUGAAUACAUUAGCAUGGAAUAAUGAAAUAGGACGGACUGAUUCUAUUUCGUUGGUUUCUAGGAUCACCGUAAUGAUUAAUAGGGAUAGUUGGGGGCAGUAGUAUUCAAUUGUCAGAGGUGAAAUUCUUGGAUUUAUUGAAGAAGAACUACUGCGAAAGCAUUUGCCAAGGAUGUUUUCAUUAAUCAAGAACGAAAGUUAGGGGAUCGAAGACGAUCAGAUACCGUCGUAGUCUUAACCAUAAACUAUGCCGACUAGGGAUCGGACGAAGUUAAUUUUAUAAUGACGCGUUCGGCACCUUACG
rnacentral:rRNA from 1 species